CGCGGGGUGGAGCAGUCUGGUAGCUCGUCGGGCUCAUAACCCGAAGGUUGCAGGUUCGAAUCCUGCCCCCGCAACCA
rnacentral:tRNA from 1 species